rnacentral:rRNA from 1 species
GGCGGACGGGUGAGUAAUGCCCUAGGAAUCUGCCCUCUGGUGGGGGAUAACUCAUGGAAACAUGAGCUAAUACCGCAUGAAGCCGAAAGGUAAAAGGAGAAAUCCGCCAGUGGAUGAGCUUGCGUCCCAUUAGCUAGUUGGUGGGGUAAAGGCCUACCCAAGGCGAUGAUGGGUAGCUGGCCUGAGAGGGUGGUCAGCCACACUGGGACUGAGAUACGGCCCAGACUCCUACGGGAGGCAGCAGCUAAGAAUCUUCCUCAAUGGGGGAAACCCUGAAGGAGCGACACUGCGUGCAGGAUGAAGGCCCUUUGGGUUGUAAACUGCUUUUGUAGGGGAGAAAUAAGCGAAUGUGAUGAUAGUACCCUACGAAUAAGUCCCAGGCUAAGCUA